UACAGAGGUCCCAAGCGUUAAUCGGAAUUACUGGGCGUAAAGCGUGCGCAGGCGGUUUGUUAAGUCUGUUGUGAAAUCCCCGAGCUCAACUUGGGAAUUGCAAUGGAUACUGGCAGGCUGGAGUAUGGUAGAGGAAGGUGGAAUUCCCGGUGUAGCAGUGAAAUGCGUGGAGAUCGGGAGGAACACCAGUGGCGAAGGCGGAUCUCUGGGCCUUGCCUGACGCUGAGGCGCGAAAGCUAGGGGAGCGAACAGG
rnacentral:rRNA from 1 species